rnacentral:rRNA from 1 species
UGGGGAAUUUUGGACAAUGGGGGAAACCCUGAUCCAGCCAUCCCGCGUGUGCGAUGAAGGCCUUCGGGUUGUAAAGCACUUUUGGCAGGAAAGAAACGUCAUGGGUUAAUACCCCGUGAAACUGACGGUACCUGCAGAAUAAGCACCGGCUAACUACGUGCCAGCAGCCGCGGUAAUACGUAGGGUGCAAGCGUUAAUCGGAAUUACUGGGCGUAAAGCGUGCGCAGGCGGUUCGGAAAGAAAGAUGUGAAAUCCCAGAGCUCAACUUUGGAACUGCAUUUUUAACUACCGGGCUAGAGUGUGUCAGAGGAAGGUGGAAUUCCGCGUGUGGCAGUGAAAUGCGUAGAUAUGCGGAGGAACACCGAUGGCGAAGGCAGCCUCCUGGGAUAACACUGACGCUCAUGCACGAAAGCGUGGGGAGCAAACAGG